GCCAGCAUGGGGUAGUGGUUUGAAUAUUAGACUAGGACUCUGGAGACAAGGGUUCAAAUCCCUGCUUAGCCA
rnacentral:tRNA from 1 species